UCUGUAACAUCGGGCUCCAGAUUUGUCUUCUUUCUAUAAAUAGAUCAAAGAAAAUAACAUCAAGAAUCAAAAACGACUGUUUCUAAAGGAAUGAGUGAUACAGAUAAAAAAACACCAUUCAAUGGAUAUAAAGGCCUUCUCUUUGUGGAACUACAAUAUCAAAGAAAGAUGAUGAAAGCGAUCAAGAGGCUACUUGAUUUCGAUUUUCAGGAUUUGGUUAUUCUCGAAGGUCUGUAUACGGUUUUCGGAAUCUCUCCUCCGCCACCACUUGCACAAUUUUUAAACAGAGGUCUUCACACUUUGUCUUUGCCAGAAACGGCCAAGCCGGAGGUCGCAACUAUCUGCAAAAUUAUUGCAUGGAUGAACUUUGUGCUUCUUCCUCCGUCAUCAGAUAUGAUGAACUUUGUUUUUCCAGUUCAUGGUUUAAGCCUUUAAGGAACAAGAAAGGUACACGUUUAAUUGCUAGAAGUCAUGAAGGUUGGGUUUCUUUGACACAAGAUCAAAAUCCAUGAGCUUUAGCGUUUGGAUCUCACUAUUUUGGGAAAGAAUGAAGUAGAUGUUUCAAUGUAUCAGGAUUGUACUCUGGUUGAACCCAAAUGGUGUUUGAAUGUUUCAGUACGAGUCUGGGUUCUCCAAAGGAAUCAUACGAGGUCGGCCAUGGUUAUGGG